AUCGCUUCUCGGCCUUUUGGCUAAGAUCAAGUGUAGUAUCUGUUCUUAUCAGUUUAAUAAAAUAAUUUGAGGAUCACUGAUUUGUGCUUUAUAGUGUUCUUCAUGUUUCUCUUU
rnacentral:snRNA from 1 species